GGGGGAGCCUUUCCUUGCGAGCCCAAAAUCUUCCAAUCCAGACCGUCAGGAUGAUGACUUUCAUCCUGAGCCCUCUGCUGCUGAUGGCAAUGAUUUUCCAUCCAUCCUGGCCAUGAGAUCACAGUGUCCCUCUAUCCCUCUACACCACGCUGAGCCCAGAGCUCCGAUCAGGCACCAACAUUCUCCGCCUCUCCAGAAGCAUGUCCUGUCCUCAGCUGGGAGCAGCUGCAGCCUCCUGAUAACCUUCUUUCUGUCCACAAAGGAAACAAGGCACGAGAGAACAACCCUGGGCAGCAUCCCUGCUCCCACCUCUCCGAACUGAGACCUGCAGAUGGUUCUCUGCUCUCUCCCUGGGAAAGCAAGACACCAUGAACAGAAAACAGAUGCACACAUCUCCCCAGUGCAAUGAUCAGCAAGCAGGAUGCUUCAGCAAGCAGAAGGGAUUCCCUUCUCACUGCUGAUAGACGCAGAACACAGGGAGUAAGCAUAACUGUCCCAGCCUCCAGAGCUGUCCUGACCCCUGAAAGGGGCCUUAGCACAUGCACGGUGAGUUAUUGCUCUUGCCAGCUGUGGUAGGUGCCGGUGCAUUUGGGACAUCACGGAGCUAUGCCAUGCUAUGAGAUCCUGGUGUAACCAACCUCAGCAUCCCGUGCAGGUACUGCCUCUCUGCGCUGGAAGCAACAUUGCUUCCAACCCCUAUUAUUCUGUGAUCCCACUGUUUGUACACUUGUACAGGAGUGUAUUUCUGGCUCUCCUGCUCCAGGAGAUGUGGGUGGUGAAUGGUUCCCCAAAGGAGAAGUGCAGACUGUGCAGCCACAUGUGAAGAAAAAGCACAUGGAAAAAAAAAACUCCUGGAAACUGGGAAAGAAUCACAGAGUAAAGGGGAGGUGAGAAAAAUGCUCUGCCUUCAGCCACACAGGAAGGCAUUACCUGCAGUGGACCCAGCUGUCCUACAAUACCUGAGCAACUUUUCCCAUGUAUGUCUCAUAUAAUUGUUGGGUUGGAAGGGAUCUCAAAGGUCGUCCAUCCAGUUCCAAACGUGGAGUGGGUGCCUCCCACCAGCUCAGGCUGCCCAGGGCCCACCCAGCCUGGCCUUGGGUGCUCUGCCACCUGCCACCAGGACAAGCACGGUGUCAGUGGCCCAUCUCUCCAAGCAGGGACUGGAGCUACCAUGCUCUCCACGGGGUAACCCCAAGCCCAGCCCAUCCACCCCUGCACGCUGAAGCAGUCAGAGCUUCAGACACAUUCUCCCCACGCCAUCCCCUCACCGCCUCCCCGUGCAGCCUCGAGCGUCACCGUGUGCGGAGGAGAAGGGUGGGCUGGCACCGAACAGCUCUGUGUGGGCAGCUCUGCACGCCGCAGGAGGGGUGAAGCUAACGGGGAUGAAACCCCAGGAUCUCUCCCACGGUGACUGAAUGCUUUAAUGCAGUGAUCAUUCGUUAGCUGCAGAGGAAUGCCAAACGGAAAGCAUGGGGGAAGAAGGGAGUGGGGAGAAAAAGAGGUUGGAGAGCUACUGUCCGCUGCCCUUUCCCACUCUUUGACAUGCAAAUUGCUUUUCCCUUUCACGAAGCAGUGAAAAACCUCGACAUCUUGUCAGGGAUGGAGGGAAC